AUUGAACGCUGGCGGCAUGCCUUACACAUGCAAGUCGAGCGGCAGCACGGGUGCUUGCACCUGGUGGCGAGUGGCGAACGGGUGAGUAAUACAUCGGAACAUGUCCUGUAGUGGGGGAUAGCCCGGCGAAAGCCGGAUUAAUACCGCAUACGAUCUACGGAUGAAAGCGGGGGACCUUCGGGCCUCGCGCUAUAGGGUUGGCCGAUGGCUGAUUAGCUAGUUGGUGGGGUAAAGGCCUACCAAGGCGACGAUCAGUAGCUGGUCUGAGAGGACGACCAGCCACACUGGGACUGAGAAACGGCCCAGACUCCUAAGGGAGGCAGCAGUGGGGAAUUUUGGACAAUGGGCGAAAGCCUGAUCCAGCAAUGCCGCGUGUGUGAAGAAGGCCUUCGGGUUGUAAAGCACUUUUGUCCGGAAAGAAAUCCUUGGCCCUAAUACGGUCGGGGGAUGACGGUACCGGAAGAAUAAGCACCGGCUAACUACGUG
rnacentral:rRNA from 1 species